GAUGAACGCUAGCGGGAGGCCUAACACAUGCAAGCCGAGCGGUAUUGUUUCUUCGGAAAUGAGAGAGCGGCGUACGGGUGCGGAACACGUGUGCAACCUGCCUUUAUCUGGGGGAUAGCCUUUCGAAAGGAAGAUUAAUACUCCAUAAUAUAUUUAACGGCAUCGUUUAAUAUUGAAAGCUCCGGCGGAUAGAGAUGGGCACGCGCAAGAUUAGCUAGUUGGUGAGGUAACGGCUCACCAAGGCGAUGAUCUUUAGGGGGCCUGAGAGGGUGAUCCCCCACACUGGUACUGAGACACGGACCAGACUCCUACGGGAGGCAGCAGUGAGGAAUAUUGGUCAAUGGGUGCAAGCCUGAACCAGCCAUCCCGCGUGAAGGACGACUGCCCUAUGGGUUGUAAACUUCUUUUGUAUAGGGAUAAACCUACCCUCGUGAGGGUAGCUGAAGGUACUAUACGAAUAAGCACCGGCUAACUCCGUGCCAGCAGCCGCAGUAAUAC
rnacentral:rRNA from 1 species